GCCGCCGUCGCCCCCGCUCUCGCCCUGCUCCCCGGCCCGCGCACUGGGGUCACGCUCCUGAAUCGCCCCUGCCCUGGGCCUACUUCCCCCCCCCCCCCCUUACUAACCGUUGGGUCUGUGACCUUCCCCUGCGCUGUGCGGACCCAACGCCCAGCCACUCCCCGAGGGGGACGAGUUCCCCGCCGCUGCCCCUGCCGUAGGCACCCUUGCUUUGGGCGGGAGGGCGCCGGCUUUUAGAGGCUCCGGCAAGCUGGCUGUAACUGUACUUAAUAUAUUAGACAGCAGAUGUGUGCACGGACGAAGGCCCCAUCCUGCAAAGGCUACACAGGUGCUUAACUUAAUGCACUGUGACUAGCCCUACUGAAGUCAAAUUAAGUUCUCACAUGAUCAGAGCCUGAAGAUGGAAAGAUAUUUACAUACGGAAUAGGCCUCUUUUAAACUUAAAAAGGCAGUGGUUGGUAAGAGCCUAGUUUGUGGUACUUCAAAAGAGGAAGUAAAUUGUUCAUGGUGCCGCCCUGCUAACUUCAUCCUUGGGCUUUUCAUAAAUGAAAAAAUGAAGGAUGCAAUAAUACCCUUUGUAAUUUACCACAUAAUAUGAAAUUUGAUUUUUAAAAAUCAGUUCCCCAUUCAAAUGCCUAUAAUAAAUAGAAAAUACUUAAUAAAACUACUUGCUUUAUCACUUCAAUAAGUAAACAGUGGAUAGUUUUUUGUCUGUAAUUGCAACCAUGCGCAUGUACAUUUGAAUGCUGGACUUUAUGCGGUAUGCCCAGAUGUCUUCCCUGUUUUAGUUUGCUGACAGCAAAGUAGAAUUGUACAAAAGUCCUGUUCCCUGUCAUCAGACACACUGAGUUAUGUUCUGGUGUUCAUGCUUCCCGUUGUAAUCAACAUAUAAGUCAAAUAUUUCGCCUAUCAGUCUUGAUAGCCUUUUCAUAGUAUGGUAAGUAAGUGAGAAAAAGUGUUUCAUAGAUAGCUUUGAAAAAUGAGAGGACAAAGAUGAUAAUACAGGCAUAAGUAGAAAUUUGUUGUUGUUGAUAGAGGCUGACGCACCAAGCCAGAUCUGUUACUUCCUUAAUGGACACAAAUAAUCUGGUGAAGUUGUUUGCUAAAUAAACUGCAAAAUGCUGUUGUCCUUAUUUGUUUUGUUGCUGAAUGUACUGGAACUAAGAAGAAGUAUAUCUAAGAAAUUGUUUGAUUUCAGCAGAAUUGUAUUUUUACAGCUUAGUAUCUUUGGUACAGGGGAUUCUUUUUGAUCCCCAAAGCAGACUAAAUACAGCCCUAAACUGAAUUAAUUGCUGUUUCAACUAUUUUUUUCAGUUCUUCUGAUUUGCAAUAUAAAAAUUGUAGCAACCUGCAUGGAGCUUGGAAGGAGGAGCUCAAGUUGCAGAACAAAAAAGUUUGGAGGAGGAGUUGCAGUAUGGAGAGACAAGAGAAAAUCCAAUUUGAGGCUUACAGUUCUGAUAACAGAGACUUCAGGCUCAGUUUUGAAGGUUCCCCUAGACUGUUGCUCCUGCAAGUCUCUCCUCAGAUCCUACGCUACCCAGCUAUCUUCGAGACACCACCGACUUCCUGAGAAAACUACAAUGCAUUGGUGAUCUUCCUGAAAACACCAUCCUGGCCACCAUGGAUAUAGAAGCUCUUUACACCAAUA